AUUACUUCUUGGCUCCUCGGAGCUAAGAUCAAGUGUAGUCUCAUUUCUUAUCAGCAUAAUAUCUGAUAUGUCCUUUAUUUGAGGACUAUAUUAAAUUGAUUUUUGAAACAGGGGGAUGGAAUAGGAGCUUGCUCUGUCCACUCCAUGCAUUGACUUGGUAAUGCAGUGCCUCUGGGAAUGGAAAAAAAACU
rnacentral:snRNA from 1 species